UGGUGCAGAUUUGCUUCUUUUCACAUUUUGCUGCAGUGGGAAAAAUCAGUGAUCUCAACAGUGUAUGAGGUAUUUUUCAUCUUUAAGUAUGAGGAUGGUUACAAUAGAUAGGAGAGGGAGAGCCAUAACUGGAGAGCCAGAUUACAUCUUCCUCGACCAUCAUUCCUAAUAUGCUGCACAGGCUAGGGGAUGACCUCCAAAAUGAUCUAUUUCACCACCUUUCCAGCAAUGGAGCAAAAUGUUUCACAAGAGUACAGUUUCUUGCUUUCUGGAGCUGUAUUUCCAGAACACAGAAAGAGCAAUGGAGAUGAGCAUACUGAAUAACAGAUAACAAUAUUAUUGCACUUGGAAAAGUAUUUGAGUCCAAGAGUAAGAUUGGCAAAGGUAAGCUCGUGGAGUUUUGCUGGCUUACAGGUAUGAAAAUAGGAUACUAGAUGUAUUGACUCCCCAUUUUUGAAACUAAAUUUGUUUAUUUAGUAGUUUCUCAUGGAAACUGUUACUUAUAAACCAAAUGGAAGUAUUCAUACUUUGCAUCCUUCACUAAGACUUAAAACAAUUCAGAAAUGCACAUUUCACAAUGUUGCCCCUUUUCUUUCUCUAUUAGUAAAAGAAUGUAUGGAAAAUACUGUGAAUUCACAAACUUGCAGUGGAGAUGGUGUUCAGUUUCCUUAGGAAAGUGAUUUAAUUUCUUAUUUUCCAUGGUCUAUCAUAUUUUUUAGAAGGAUGACAGAUUCAGUUGUGUCAUAGUGGCACAGUUUUUGUUGGUUUUUUUUUGUUUGGUCGGUUGGUUGGUUCAUUUAUUUUGUUUUUUUUUCCCAGACUUCUAGAGCCAAGUUUUGGAUUAAAACUAAUUUCAGUAAGAAUGAUGACAUGUUAACUUCCCUGUCCUUCCAAUAGAUGUAAUAAAGUGAUACAAAAUAA